ensembl:snRNA U6 U6 spliceosomal RNA
GUGCUCACUUUGGCAGCACAUAUACUAAAAUUGGAAUGAUACAGAGAAGAUUAGCACGACCCCUGCGCAAGGAUGACACAUAAAUUCACGAAGCAUUCCAUAUUUAA